rnacentral:lncRNA from 12 species
CUUGGCCUGCGGAGCAGAGCAGCCGGGUGGCUGCAGCUCGCACGCCGCCUGACAGGCCCCUCUCCAGAGGCUCCGUAUUAUUACAGUCUGCCCUUCUGCCGGCGUGGAAUUAACUUGUUCCGACUGUGUGACAGUUCUGACGACUACACAGUUUGAGGCAAGGAGCCGGGUCACAUGCUGCUACAUGCAUGGGCUGUCACUAACUGUGCGGCUGAAACCAGACAAACCCUUGUCAGGGGAGAUAAACUCCUCUGGAGACAGAGGGAGACACAAUCAACACUGGCAAGAGGAGAGAGGCAGGGAGAGAGAAACACAGCUGACGACCCGAGGACGCUGGAGGAGACGGGCUGCCAGAAGGUGGCCAAAGACGACAGCGUCCUCGCUCUCGAAAAAUCAGUGAACUCGUCAAAUCAUGCCUAUUCCAUGCUCCCAAGACCUCCAGCAAGAACGAAAGCCAUCAACCUUGGUUUUACUGAGUGGGUCUCUACUGCGUGCUUGACCCUGUGCCAGGUAUGAUGAAAGCUACUGAAACGUAACACGGACUCCUAAUUUAGAGACCUCAUAAUUUAGCUGUUGGAGAAGACCCAUUUCAUAUAAAUAUAGAAUAUGGUAAACACAACACUCUUUCCCCAGACCUGUGUGCCCAGUGGGCAUCUGAGGACCUGGAAUCCACCCCCCAGAGGGCUGAACUACAGACAACACAGCAGGGAGAAGCCACAGGGAAGGUCCUCCCUAAGAACACCCUCCUUGGGUGGCCAAAGGUCAGGGUUCCAGCUAUUCUUUCCUCUUCUUGUUUUUAAAUAUUUUAUUUACUUAUUUGACAGAGAGAGAGAGCAUGAGCAGGGGCAGAGGGAGAAGGCGAAGCAGACACUCCUGCCAAGCAAGCAGCCCAACAUGGAGCUCGAUCCCAGGACCCUGACAUCAUGACCUGAGCAGAAGGCAGGUGCUUAACUGACUGAGCCAAUCCAGGUGCCCUCUUUCCUCUCUUCUUGGCUGUGCCUGAAGCAAGGCCCUCCUGGUCCCCAGCUAAGAAUCAGCAAGACUGCCUAUCAUUCUAUGACAAGGGUGUACUCCUUAACCUACGCACCCAGACAAUUUGGUUUAUUCUUCUAUCUCCUCCAUCCCCUAUCCAGCUCCAAUGUACACAUGUGGUAGCAACAACCAUCCCUAAAGAGACACACCUUGGAGCUGUAAACAUUUAUUUACAACUGGGACCUUUAUUGGUCAUGUGAACUUAGCUUAUUUAAUCAGAAUUUCUGUUUCCUUAAGUGCAAGGAUUGAUGUAAAAAAGAAAAAGAGGAGUUGCAUGGAAGUGCCCAGCAUGGCAUCUGAUAUUUGGUAGAUAUACAUGCUGGUUUGUUUCAAUCCUCUGAUAGCAACACUGAAUACCUAGGUAAGGGUAAAUUUCUGUGUAACAGCUCUAAAUCCUUAACUUAGGACUGUCGGUUCUCUUUAUUUGUGGAUUCCAUAUACACGAACUCACCUACUCACUAAAACGUAUUGGUAACCCCCAAAUCAAUGCUGGUGGCACUUCUCUGGUCAUUCACAGAUAUACAGAGAGUAAAGAAAAAUUUGGAUCAUCCAACACACACAUUCCCAGUUGAGGCAGAACAAAGUGACCCCCUGUGUCUUCUUUCAGCCUUCACACUGUAAACAAGUAUCCUUUUCACCAUCUAUUUAGUGUAAUCUCUUUCACAUUUUUGAGGGGCUUUUUGGCAAUUUCAUGGUUUAAAAUGGUCUCCAAGUAAAAGAUAGUCUUUUCCAUAAGUGGUGCUAAGAAAAAUGGACAGCUACCUGCAAAAGAAUGAAACUGGAUUAUGUUCUUACACCAUACACAAGAAUUAACUCAAGAUGAAUUAAGGACUUAAAUGUAAGACCAGAAACCAUAAAACUCCCAGAAGAAAACACAGGCAGUAAGCUACUCGACAUUGAUGUAAUAAUUUUUUGGAUCUGUCUUCUUAGGUAAGAACAACAAAACCAAAAAUAAACAAACAAGACUAAAUCA